UUCAGUCAGGGACAUCUCAGUGAUGUGUAAUUUUUCUUUAUACAUUUUAGUUUCCAUGAAAAAUUAAUUUCUAUGUGCAUAAAGCAGAUGAUAUUUGGGCAAAUAAUGAAAACCUUGUCUGCUGAAUAGCAGUGACCAUCUAAUUCCAGGUUUCUCCUUCACUCUUCACACUUAUUAUUACAAGAGUAAUUGCAACUUGGAGAGGGCCCUGGCAUGGAGAUCAUUCAUCUGGUCAAGUGUACACCCACUUCACCUGUACCAAAGGAAGAUGGAGGGUUGCUGAGUUCCAGCCCUUUGCAGGGACCUACACAGAGAAUGGUCAACUGAUCAGGCCUUGGUUUGAGGUUUACAGCAAAACAAGCUCUGUUCUUUCUAGGAUAUCUCUUAACACAAGAAAUGGAAAGUGGAGCUACCCCUGGCAUGAUAACCAUUGUCUUGACAAGCUCCCCCGCCAGCCCAGACCAACCUAGACCAGUUUGAGUUGAACUCCUAACUCCUGCCUGUGCAUAUGGACUGUGAAUGCCUUCUAUAAUGACCUACAACUACCUUUACCUCAUUAUAAUACUAAAAUGUCCACCCAAGAAAGAACACCAAUAUACAUAAUGUACAAUGUGUGUAUAGUCCUGUUUAUUUAGGAAGUGUGGGUGACCUUAGGGCUACUUCUGUAUA